CCUACGGGAGGCAGCAGUGAGGAAUAUUGGUCAAUAGACGAGAGUCUGAACCAGCCAAGUAGCGUGAAGGAUGACUGCCCUAUGGGUUGUAAACUUCUUUUAUAUGGGAAUAAAAUGUUCCACGUGUGGGAUUUUGUAUGUACCAUAUGAAUAAGGAUCGGCUAACUCCGUACCAGCAGCCGCGGUAAUACGGAGGAUCCGAGCGUUAUCCGGAUUUAUUGGGUUUAAAGGGAGCGUAGGUGGAUUGUUAAGUCAGUUGUGAAAGUUUGCGGCUCAACCGUAAAAUUGCAGUUGAAACUGGCAGUCUUGAGUACAGUAGAGGUGGGCGGAAUUCGUGGUGUAGCGGUGAAAUGCUUAGAUAUCACGAAGAACUCCGAUUGCGAAGGCAGUUCACUGGACUGCAACUGACACUGAGGCUCGAAAGUGUGGGUAUCAAACAGGAUUAGAUACCCCUGUAGUC
rnacentral:rRNA from 1 species